rnacentral:misc_RNA from 1 species
CCUUUUCUAGGAUCCAAAGACAGAGAGAAAAGACCGAGAGAGAAAUCUACAGUAGAAAAAUGCAUAGAAAGAGAAUCCAAGGUGGGGGAGAGGAAGGAGAAAGAAAAAUACAAGCCAUCAUCCACAAAAUUAAAUGAAAUCCUUGAGAAACAAGUACAAAAUUAUCCACAGCAGGUAAGAAAUUCCUCCUCAGCACUGACUAAAUACGUUACUAGUAAAUAAAUAAAAUGAAAAUUCAUGUCUCUAAGGUUGUAAAAGCAAAUUCAAUAGAAGCUGAAGCGUCCAGCGUAUGAAUGAGGUAUGUGAGCACCAGGGCAACUAGCAUCAACACGUAGGCGAUUCCUUGAUCUAUAGAAGUCCCAUCGCUGGUAGGAGCAGGAACAGGAGCCUGAGCCCGAGAUGAGGGAGAGAAAACAAGGAAAAUAAGAGAGAACAAGGCAAAGAAACCAAGGAAAGACCUUGACGAGCCGCAAACUGCCAUUUUGUUUUUGU